GUUUGAUCCUGGCUCAGAAUCAACGCUGGCGGCGUGCCUAACACAUGCAAGUCGAACGAGAAAGUGGAGCAAUCCAUGAGUAAAGUGGCGACCGGGUGAGUAACACGUGACUACCUACCCUCGAGUGGGGAAUAACUCCGGGAAACCGGGGCUAGUACCGCAUAACAUCGAGAGAUCAAAGGAGCAAUUCGCUUGAGGAGGGGGUCGCGGCUGAUUAGCUAGUUGGUAGGGUAAUGGCCUACCAAGGCGAUGAUCGGUAGCCGGCCUGAGAGGGCGCACGGCCACACUGGAACUGAAACACGGUCCAGACUCCUACGGGAGGCAGCAGUGGGGAAUUUUGCGCAAUGGGGGAAACCCUGACGCAGCAACGCCGCGUGGAGGAUGAAGUCCCUUGGGACGUAAA
rnacentral:rRNA from 1 species